rnacentral:rRNA from 1 species
AGUGAACGCUGGCGGUAGGCCUAACACAUGCAAGUCGAACGGCAGCACAGUAAGAGCUUGCUCUUACGGGUGGCGAGUGGCGGACGGGUGAGGAAUACAUCGGAAUCUACUUUUUCGUGGGGGAUAACGUAGGGAAACUUACGCUAAUACCGCAUACGACCUACGGGUGAAAGCAGGGGAUCUUCCGACCUUGCGCGAUUGAAUGAGCCGAUGUCGGAUUAGCUAGUUGGCGGGGUAAAGGCCCACCAAGGCGACGAUCCGUAGCUGGUCUGAGAGGAUGAUCAGCCACACUGGAACUGGGACACGGUCCAGACUCCUACGGGAGGCAGCAGUGGGGAAUAUUGGACAAUGGGCGCAAGCCUGAUCCAGCCAUACCGCGUGGGUGAAGAAGGCCUUCGGGUUGUAAAGCCCUUUUGUUGGGAAAGAAAAGCAGCAGGUUAAUACCCCGCUGUUCUGACGGUACCCAAAGAAUAAGCACCGGCUAACUUCGUG